ACAAUCUACCAGGCGGAGGCUGGCAGUGGGAGAGGACUCACCAGUAGUAUGGGCGAGAGGUCGCCACGCUGAUGUACCAAUGGAACAAUCUACCAGGCGGAGGCUGGCAGUGGGAGAGGACUCACCAGUAGUAUGGGCGAGAGGUCACCACGCUGAUGUACCAAUGGAACGUCUCCCAGGCGGAGGCUGGCAGUGGGAGAGGACUCACCAGUAGUAUGGGCGAGAGGUCACCACGCUGAUGUACCAAUGGAACGUCUCCCAGGCGGAGGCUGGCAGUGGGAGAGGACUCACCAGUAGUAUGGGCGAGAGGUCGUCCACGCUGAUGCUCUCGAGGUAGGCGAUGAGUCCGGUGACGCACGAGUCGUU